rnacentral:rRNA from 1 species
GGCGGACGGGUGAGUAAACGUUAGAAUCUCUCUUUAGGUCGGGAACAACCCCUGGAAACGGCUGCUAAUACCGGAUAUCCCCACAGGAGAAAGAAUUUUUGCCCAAAGAUGAGCUCCCCUCUGAUUAGCUUGUAGGUGUGGUAAGAGCCCCACUAGGCGACGAUCAUUAACUGGUCUGAAAAGACGAUCACCCCCCCUGGGACUGAAACACCGCCCCCACUCCUCCGGGAGGCCGCAGUGGGGAAUUUUCCGCAAUGGGGGAAAACCUGACGGAACACUCCCCCGUGGGGGAGGAAGGCUCUUGGGUUGUAAACCUCUUUUCUCAGGGAAAAAUACAAUGACGGUACUUGAAGAAUAAGCCUCGGCUAACUCCGUGCCAGCAGCCGCGGUAAUACGGAGGAUGCAAGCGUUAUCCGGAAUGAUUGGGCGUAAAGCGUCCGCAGGUGGCAAUGAAAGUCUGCUGAUAAAGAGUGGGGCUCAACCUCAUAAAAGCGGUGAAAACUACAUAGCUAGAGUACGUUCGGGGCAGAGGGAAUUCCUGGUGUAGCGGUGAAUGCGUAGAUAUCAGGAAAACCCCGGUGGCAAAGCGCUCUUUAGGCCUGUACUGACCUGAGGGACAAACCUAGGGGAGCAAUGGUAUUAAACCCCCAGUAGUCCUAGCCGAAACGAUGGAUACUAGGCGUGGCUUGUAUUACCCGAGCCGUGCCGGAUCAACGCGUUAAGUCCCCGCCGGGGGAGACGCACCAAGUGUGAACUCAAGGAUUGAGGGGGCCCACACAGCGGGGAGUUGGGGUUUAUUCGAUCCACGCG